rnacentral:rRNA from 1 species
CGGUGAGUAACACGUGGGUAACCUGCCCCGAUGAUUGGGACAACCGAGGAAACUCGGGCUAAUACCGAAUGUGUCCUCUGACCUCAAGGUCUGAGGGGAAAGGAAGCUUCGGCCUCCGCAUCGGGAUGGGCCCGCGGCCCAUUAGCUUGUUGGUGAGGUAAAGGCCCACCAAGGCUACGAUGGGUAGCUGGUCUGAGAGGACGAUCAGCCACACUGGGACUGAGACACGGCCCAG